UACGUAGGGACCAAGCGUUGUUCGGAUUUACUGGGCGUAAAGGGCGCGUAGGCGGCGUGGUAAGUCCGUUGUGAAAGUCAAAGGCUCAACCUUUGAACGCCGAUGGAUACUGCCGGGCUAGAGUCCGGAAGAGGCGAGUGGAAUUCCUGGUGUAGCGGUGGAAUGCGCAGAUAUCAGGAGGAACACCAAUAGCGAAGGCAGCUCGCUGGGACGGUACUGACGCUGAGGCGCGAAAGCGUGGGGAGCGAACAGG
rnacentral:rRNA from 1 species